CUCCUCACUUCCCAUCCAGCCUCCAACCAUCCUGUAGGACUGGAGCCUCAGAGGAAAAACAGCUUGGCAUUUUCAGAGGGCUGGUGCUUUGGUGAUGCCUUCAGCUUCAGCAGGGGGGCUCCACACAGCUUCUCCUGCCUUGCGGCCAGCUGAUGGGUAUGAGCAUGUGGCUGAUGUACCCCUGUGGUCUCCAGCAAAGUCUUGUGGUUUAUUUAUAUUUAUAAUUGGUUGGAAAGAGAAGUGGUGAGGUACUAACAGGCCAACUCCUCAUCUUACCCCUGCCAUCAGAGUGGUUCCAAAGAGUGUUUAUUGGUAUGCAGAUCCCUGCUCGAGCA